ACUGCGGUCCUAUGCAAUAGAACGUCAUGAAUCAUGUCAGGUCCGGAAGGAAGCAGCAUUAAGUGGCCCAUUCUAUGUGCCGUAGGGUUGCCGUGGUUGA
rnacentral:SRP_RNA from 1 species